CUACGGCUGCAUGUUUUAUUACACCGUCAUCCUAUGACAUAGUCAUAAGCCUUUUAUUUUUUUUCUUUGAGGCCAAAACUUAGAAAAUAAUUGGCAAACAAGUAAAACAUACAGAACAAAGGACAUUAAUUCUUAAAAAAAAUCAAUUAAAAUUUGGGGUUUCAACCAAAAAUGGCUGGUUAAUUCCACCCGGUCCCGCGGCACGGUGUAGCAGCGCUUCCUGCCACUUGUAAGGUUGUCUCUUUUCUGAAGCUUAUAUAGAGCAAACAAAUUUUAGGGGGGAUGGAUGAGCAGGGAGAUUUAUUACUCUGUCUUAAAAAGCUAACUUAUAUUUUCUGUUAAAGCUCUUAAACCAUGAUGAGAGGGUUAGCCCUGCAGUUGGUGCAUUUAAUUACAUGAGCUGAAAAUAAUCGUGCCUCGUAAGUCAUUGCGUCCAAAUGCUGGAUUGUUGUUGGUUUUCUUUUACUUAAUAUUUGCAUAAUCAAUUUUUGUCAUCACCAGUUGGGUUUGGUUUUUUAUUGAAAAAACCCUAAACCCAACCAACCAGCCAGAUUGUUUUAGCCAACCCAAAGGGGGGGGUGAGACCCGGACCCCGAGUGCCUCUGCCCCUCCACGUGUGCUGACAGACGGGCUCCGCACCCCGAUCUCCACGGGAAGGACAAGGUCACCCUGGAACAGCAGCACCAGGCAGCCCCCCAGAUUGCACCCUCCCCGCGAGUCAGGCUGCCAGAGAUCCCUCCUGAUCUUUGGCACUCGACAUAAUUCGCCACCUGUCUCAAAGUGCAAACGUGUCCGUGGUCAGGAAGGGAUACAGACAGGUACAGGGAAUUAUGCCUCCAGCUUCACCUGGACACACACCAGUGACACUUGCCACCGGCUACUGGGCAACAGACCUUCCCCCACCGAAGGCGGUGGCUCCUCAAGGUAAGGCUUUGAAUCAAGGUAGCUCCUGGAGGUCAGGUUGGCCAGGAGGUGGUAGCACAUGGGCAGAUCUCUAAGGGGUGGAUCUGAACAGAAAAAUUAAACCUUUCUGCCCUUAUUUCUGUAAUUAUUUUGAGCCGCAGUA